rnacentral:tRNA from 1 species
GGCUCCAUAGUGUAGUGGUUAGCACGUCUGCUUUUCAUGCAGAAGGCCUUGGUUCGCGCCCCAGGUAGAUCCA